GGUUGGAUGGCCGAGUGGUCUAAGGCGCCAGAUUCAGGACCAAUACCUUCGAGGUGUCCCCAAUGCAUUCAUUUGCUUUCUGGUCUUCACGGGCGUGGGUUCGAAUCCCACUCCAAUCA